ACUAUACAAACACACUGCAUUAUAUACACACACUACACAAACACACUGUGUAUAUAAUGCAGUGUGUUUGUGUAGU
rnacentral:miRNA from 1 species